rnacentral:rRNA from 1 species
CCUACGGGAGGCAGCAGUGAGGAAUAUUGGUCAAUGGACGAGAGUCUGAACCAGCCAAGUAGCGUGAAGGAUGACUGCCCUAUGGGUUGUAAACUUCUUUUAUAAAGGAAUAAAACGAGGCACGUGUGCCUUUUUGCAUGUACUUUAUGAAUAAGGAUCGGCUAACUCCGUGCCAGCAGCCGCGGUAAUACGGAGGAUCCGAGCGUUAUCCGGAUUUAUUGGGUUUAAAGGGAGCGUAGAUGGGUUGUUAAGUCAGUUGUGAAAGUUUGCGGCUCAACCGUAAAAUUGCAAUUGAUACUGGGAGUCUUGAGUACAGUUGAGGUAGGCGGAAUUCGUGGUGUAGCGGUGAAAUGCGUAGAUAUCACGAAGAACCCCGAUUGCGAAGGCAGCUUACUAAACUGUGACUGACAUUGAUGCUCGAAAGUGUGGGUAUCAAACAGGAUUAGAUACCCCAGUAGUC